rnacentral:rRNA from 1 species
GACUCGUCACACUAUCAUUAACUGAAUCCAUAGGUUAAUGAGGCGAACCGGGGGAACUGAAACAUCUAAGUACCCCGAGGAAAAGAAAUCAACCGAGAUUCCCCCAGUAGCGGCGAGCGAACGGGGAGGAGCCCAGAGCCUGAAUCAGCAUGUGUGUUAGUGGAAGCGUCUGGAAAGGCGCGCGAUACAGGGUGACAGCCCCGUACACAAAAGCGCAUGUGCUGUGAGCUCGAUGAGUAGGGCGGGACACGUGGUAUCCUGUCUGAAUAUGGGGGGACCAUCCUCCAAGGCUAAAUACUCCUGACUGACCGAUAGUGAACCAGUACCGUGAGGGAAAGGCGAAAAGAACCCCGGCGAGGGGAGUGAAAAAGAACCUGAAACCGUGUACGUACAAGCAGUGGGAGCACCCUUUGGGGUGUGACUGCGUACCUUUUGUAUAAUGGGUCAGCGACUUAUAUUCUGUAGCAAGGUUAACCGAAUAGGGGAGCCGGAGGGAAACCGAGUCUUAAUUGGGC